CUGCAACAUAGGUACAUCAUAUCCAACAAGUAUCUUGCCCAGCCAUUACAUUUUACAUACAACCAUCCAUUCACUUCACUGCAAAUCAGAGACUAAUGAUAUUAAGAUCAACUUAAGGGAUUAAUCUCAAGGGCAUGCUCAAAAAGUUAGGUUAUUAUUGUUUUCAUUGCUAUUUCCUACAUGCUCUUUUUUCCUGUUUGGCCUCGUUUUUUAUCUUCAAUGUAUCUUGAAGCAUAUU
rnacentral:sRNA from 1 species